AGCUCGCUGCAGUCGACGAUUCCUACGGGAGGCAGCAGUGAGGAAUAUUGGACAAUGGAGGCAACUCCGAUCCAGCCAUGCCGCGUGCAGGAAGACUGCCCUAUGGGUUGUAAACUGCUUUUAUAUAGGAAGAAACCUACUUACGUGUAAGUAGCUGACGGUACUAUAAGAAUAAGGAUCGGCUAACUCCGUGCCAGCAGCCGCGGUAAUACGGAGGAUCCAAGCGUUAUCCGGAAUCAUUGGGUUUAAAGGGUCCGUAGGUGGAUAAUUAAGUCAGAGGUGAAAUCUUGCAGCUCAACUGUAAAAUUGCCUUUGAUACUGGUUAUCUUGAGUUAUUAUGAAGUAGUUAGAAUAUGUAGUGUAGCGGUGAAAUGCAUAGAUAUUACAUAGAAUACCAAUUGCGAAGGCAGAUUACUAAUAAUCAACUGACACUGAUGGACGAAAGCGUGGGUAGCGAACAGGAUUAGAUACCCUGGUAGUCCACGCCGUAAACGAUGGUUACUAGCUGUUUGGACCUUGUGUCUGAGUGGCUAAGCGAAAGUGAUAAGUAACCCACCUGGGGAGUACGUUCGCAAGAAUGAAACUCAAAGGAAUUGACGG
rnacentral:rRNA from 1 species